GGACAACAUUCAUAAAUAACUCAUAUAAUCUUGGGAAUAUGGCCCAUAAGUUUCUACCGGAUAACCACUGAAAUUAUCCGACUAUGAGUGAAAUAGCGCAUCUA
rfam:Paenibacillus wynnii strain DSM 18334 unitig_2, whole genome shotgun sequence.